rnacentral:lncRNA from 1 species
CGCUGAAUGAACAGCGCUUGGUUCGCAAAAGUCAGUCACAAGUGAGCGCAGGGGGGCGGGGUGUCAGGACGAGAGUUGCUGGCGAGACGCCGGGCGAAGCCAGCCAGCUCCAGAGAGCGACUCGGCCGACGCUGGCACACCUUCGCGCCGCUGCUGGGAUCCAGACAUCAAGCGAUAAUCAGAUGGAGUGAUAGUCAUCCAAAAAGGUAAUUUUUAUUUGGAAACAAACCUAAUGAUAAAACAAUGUA